CAUCUAUGUAAAUGUGGGGGUCAAAACUGCCUUUUACUGGAGUUUCGCGCCUCACUCUGGCUGGUGUAUGCGGAGGGUCGUAUGUGUCAUGAUGAUUAUCAGAAAUAAUAUGAAUGGGCAUGAUAACUUUGGCUAGGGUACACUCACCCCACCACUCAGUUUCCAGCCUAGAUCUUAACUGUAGAUCCCCACAUAACCAGUAAAUAUCCCCCAAUGACCUGGUAUGGUGUUGCAACAGGCGUAUAGGAACAGUUCUGUAAGUGGCGCAAUAACCUUUAGAAAA
rnacentral:lncRNA from 1 species